GAAGUAACCACGGGGUGCCGUUAUUCGGCUGAGAUGAUACCCGUUGAACCUGAUCUGGGUAAUGCCAGCGUAGGAAUAUCGGUUGACUCGUAGUAA
rnacentral:ncRNA from 1 species